rnacentral:lncRNA from 1 species
AGAGAAAAGAAAAAGGGUCCCAUCUCUCUCUCUCCUCCUUCUCUCUCCACCCUCUCCCAACCGUGCGACUCCUUCAGCCCUCUCCAUCUUCUUCAUCUCCUUCUUCUUCGAAAACCCAGCAACCAGCGAAGCCGGAGAAGCUGCCGGACCUCACGCCUUUGCCCGUCCACUCGUCGUCGCCGCCGCCAAGCUACUCGCCGGCCGCGCCACCGUCGCCC